UAAACCCAUCUGUCAGGUUAUUCUUUUUGCUUUUGGCUUCCUUUUAUUCGAGCCUGAUGUUCGUGUUCCUUGAUUUUUGACUUUAACUCCUACUGCGAGGGUAAGCUAAUUCUCGUGCUUGUAAAAGCUGAUGAACAGAGAAGCAAAGUCCUUUUCUAUCUGCAAUAAGAAUUCACUCCAGACUUCAGACAUACACUGCUCUCUUCUGAUUUGACAGCUUUCUUCCGAUGAUGCAAACAGUACUGCCCAGGUAAAUGUACCUUUGACUCUUAUUUUAAGAAUCAUCUCUUUGCAUUAAAUGGA